GAUGAACGCUGGCGGCGUGCCUAAUACAUGCAAGUCGAGCGAACGGACGAGAAGCUUGCUUCUCUGAUGUUAGCGGCGGACGGGUGAGUAACACGUGGAUAACCUACCUAUAAGACUGGGAUAACUUCGGGAAACCGUAGCUAAUACCGGAUAAUAUUUUGAACCGCAUGGUUCAAAAGUGAAAGACGGUCUUGCUGUCACUUAUAGAUGGAUCCGCGCUGCAUUAGCUAGUUGGUAAGGUAACGGCUUACCAAGGCAACGAUGCAUAGCCGAACUGAGAGGGUGAUCGGCCACACUGGAACUGAGACACGGUCCAGACUCCUACGGGAGGCAGCAGUAGGGAAUCUUCCGCAAUGGGCGAAAGCCUGACGGAGCAACGCCGCGUGAGUGAUGAAGGUCUUCGGAUCGUAAAACUCUGUUAUUAGGGAAGAACAUAUGUGUAAGUAACUGUGCACAUCUUGACGGCACCUAAUCAGAAAGCCACGGCUAACUACGUG
rnacentral:rRNA from 1 species